UACGUAGGGUGCGAGCGUUAAUCGGAAUUACUGGGCGUAAAGCGUGCGCAGGCGGUUCGUUAUGUCCGUUGUGAAAGCCCCGGGCUCAACCUGGGAAUGGCAAUGGAAACUGGCGGGCUAGAGUGUGGCAGAGGGGGGUGGAAUUCCGCGUGUAGCAGUGAAAUGCGUAGAGAUGCGGAGGAACACCUAUGGCGAAGGCAGCCCCCUGGGCUAGCACUGACGCUCAGGCACGAAAGCGUGGGGAGCAAACAGG
rnacentral:rRNA from 1 species